rnacentral:rRNA from 1 species
AUGGGCGGGCGUGGGGCUUCCUGGUGCGUGAUCAGGGCGGCGGCGGUGCUGGUCCUGGCCGUGGCCGUGCUGGGAGGGGUCGUGGCUUCGGCGUCCAGGGCGGAGCAUAUUACUUCCCGCGCCGAGGAAUUGGAGGCGCUGAUGGCCAUCAAGGCGGCGCUCCAGGACCCGGACGGAAUUCUCGGAGACUGGAUCGUCACCGCCGGCCGUCACCGGUGCCGGUGGACGGGGGUCACCUGUUCCGUCGGCCGUAUUGACUCACUACAACUGCAGAACAUGGGCCUCGCCGGCACACUCUCGCCGGCGAUCGGGAAGCUGCGGCGGCUGCGCAAUCUGUUAUUGCACCAUAACUCAAUCUCUGGCCCUAUUCCCGACGCCAUUGGAGGGCUGCCGCUGCUACGACAUCUUUCACUGUCAAACAACCAGCUCAACGGCACGAUACCGGACUCGCUGAUCAAUUCUAGCAGCCUCUUCAUCAUGGAUUUGUCCUUCAACAACCUGAGCGGCACGGUGCAGGCUUUCAACAUAAAGAAUGUACUCCUUUCCGGAAAUCCGUUGUUAAGUUAUCCCGGUUGCGGAGGUAGUUGCGCCUCCACAGUAUGGCAGGAAGAGAUCACUGUCCCUGCAAUAGACCCGCCAACGCACUCACAGAGCUUUGCAGCAACCAUCAAGAUUGUGGUGAUCUGCGUAUCAAUUGGAUCUGUGGUAACUGCCGUCAUACUUGGAGUCUUCACGGCUGCUCAGCAGUGGCGAAGGCGUCGUCUCCGGAUAUUUGCUGAGAUAGAUGACAACAAGAACUCAGAAGUAUGCCAUGGUCAUCUGAAGAUGUACACGCUCAAGGAUAUCAAACAAGCUACCAACAGCUUCCACCCAAAUAACAUCUUGGGGCAUGGAGGAUUUGGGAUAGUAUACAAGGGUAUUUUGCUUGAUGGCACCAUUGCUGCUGUGAAAAGAUUGAGGGAAUUUGUUUCUUCUGGUGAAGUUCAAUUCCACACAGAAGUUGAAGUCAUGAGCUUGGUCGUUCACCGCAACCUCAUUAAUCUAAUUGGGUUCUGCUCUGAAGAUAAUGAGAGGAUCCUUGUAUACCCUUACAUGCUAAAUGGAACUGUUGCUUCCAAAUUACAAGCAUAUGUGAGUGGAAGACCAGCCUUAGACUGGGCAGGGAGAAAGAAAAUUGCGCUUGGCGCGGCGCGAGGGCUCGCCUAUCUGCAUGAACGGUGUGAUCCAAGAAUAAUCCAUCGCGACAUAAAAGCGUCCAAUAUUCUUCUUGAUGAACAUUUCCAAGCGAUAGUCUCCGAUUUUGGGCUGGCAAAGCUCUUGGGUCAAGGGCAGUCCCAUGUUUUCACAGCAAUCCGCGGGACAUUUGGGCGUAUCGCUCCCGAGUAUCUGUUGACAGGUGAAUCAUCGGAUAAGACCGAUGUUUUCGCGUAUGGACUCUUGUUGAUCGAGCUAAUCACCGGUCGAAAAAGGUUGGACGUUAAUCCGGAUGAGUUUGAGAAGGGAGGAGUGAUUGAUUGGGCAAGGGAGCUCCUUAAAGAUGGCCUGCUGAGCUCGUUCGUGGACGAGAGGCUAAAGUACAACUACAACUACGCGGAGGCGGAGGAGAUGGUCCAGCUAGCCUUGCUCUGCACAAUGUACAGGGCAGCCCACCGCCCAAGGAUGUCUGAAGUCGUGAGGAUGCUGGAGGGAGAUGGGUCGGUCGCAGGGAGAUGGGAGAGACUGAAGGAUGUCAAGGCACCGGAGUACGGAACCGGAACCCCCAAGAUUGUGCUGUCUCCUGCGCAUUACAGUGAAGAGGAGCGUAACUCCGUGGAGCUGGAGGCAGUUCAGCUCUCUGGGCCAAGGUGA